AGCUUCAAUAGCGUAUGUUAAAGUUGUUGCGGUUAAAAAGCUCGUAGUUGGAUCUGCGGCCUAGGAGAGCGGUCUCCCAAUGGGUUGUUACUGCUUUUCCUGGCCUAUACCUCCGAUUAACCUUAGAUGCGCUUCAUUGUUGUGUCUAAGGCGAUCGGAAAAUUUACUUUGAAAAAAUUAGAGUGCUCAAAGCAGGCAGAUAGCCUGAAUAGUGGUGCAUGGAAUAAUGGAAUAGGACCUCGGUUCUAUUUUGUUGGUUUUCGGAGCUCGAGGUAAUGAUUAAGACGGACAGACGGGGGCAUUCGUAUUGUGGCGUUAGAGGUGAAAUUCUUGGAUCGCCGCAAGACGAACUACUGCGAAAGCAUUUGCCAAGAAUGUUUUGUUUAAUCAAGAACGAAAG
rnacentral:rRNA from 1 species